GUGCUCGCUUCAGCAGAACAUAUAAAAAUUGGAAUGAUAUAGAGAAGAUUAGCAUGGCCCCUGCUCGAGGGUGACAUGCAAAUUUGUGAAGCGUUCCAUAUUUUU